GGACCUUUAGCUCAGUUGGUUAGAGCAGACGGCUCAUAACCGUCCGGUCGUAGGUUCGAGUCCUACAAGGUCCA
rnacentral:ncRNA from 10 species